rnacentral:rRNA from 1 species
CCUACGGGAGGCAGCAGUGAGGAAUAUUGGUCAAUGGCCGAGAGGCUGAACCAGCCAAGUCGCGUGAGGGAAGACGGCCCUACGGGUUGUAAACCUCUUUUGUCGGGGAGCAAAGCGAACCACGUGUGGUUCAUUGAGAGUACCCGAAGAAAAAGCAUAGGCUAACUCCGUGCCAGCAGCCGCGGUAAUCCGGAGGAUGCGACAGUUAUCCGGAUUUAUUGGGUGUAAAGGGUGCGCAGGCGGAGGUGCACGUCAGCGGUCAAAUUGCGGGGCUCAACCCCGUACUGCCGUUGACACUGCAUCCCUUGAGUGCGCGAGAAGUAUGCGGAAUGCGUGGUGUAGCGGUGAAAUGCAUAGAUAUCACGCAGAACUCCGAUUGCGAAGGCAGCAUACCGGCGCGCAACUGACGCUCAUGCACGAAAGCGUGGGUAUCGAACAGGAUUAGAUACCCGAUAGUC